CUGUAGGUGGUGCCUGCUAAUCGUUUAAGGCCGAGUGAUUUAGGCGUGCGCUCCAGUCAGACCCGACCUACGUCUUCGGGCUUGCAGGCGAUGGGCGCAAACAGACUGGGAUGCCAGUAUCCUGUGUAGGGUUCCGACAACUGGUUUUACUGUGGGGCACAGAAGUUGAGUUAAAACUCUCAAGCUAGGGCAAACAAGACCUUGAUUUUGCUUCUAGGUUGCGUUGGAGGCACAGUGAAUGCCCUUUUACUGGCUAGAUAAUUGGAAAUCGCAUUAACAGAAAGUUUGUGUAAAGACAUAGUGAGAAUACUGGAAAGUUAGAGCUGCAGUUAGAACUUCAACAACCUUUGCUCCGGAAACCUGCUCUGGCACUUGUCACUUCGCAGGAAACCCGGCAGAGGCACCUAAGGGCUAGAACCUGCCUCGGGUUAUUUCCUGGAGGGGCGUGGCCUCAGAGAGCAAGCCCGCGCUUUCUAGUGGGUGGGCGCCGGGCCUGCGCACUGCUCUGGGAGUUGCGAGCGUGCGUCCACGGAAGGCGUCGGCGGAUCUGAGUGCUGCGGUGUGCAAUCCCUGGUAUUUCCUGCCCUGAAGCUGCGAAUCUAGGCUGAGCUGCCGGCUUGUAGCCCCUGCCCUCGAGCCGCGCGCUCCGCCCGGCUGAGGCGCCUGCUCAGUCGGGCUGAGCCAGCUUCUCCUCAGCCCUUGUGAGACUCGGCUCUGUUGCUGACUUUACAGUCGAGGUGGUUUUCCAGAACCGUGAAGCCCGCCGGCGUGCCCGCCUACCAAGCAAAUAGACCACCCAGGCCUACCAGGCCCCCGGUAGCUAACACAGUGUGCUGAACCCUGCGGCGGCUGCAUUCAGUAAAGUGGAGGUUGACUCUCCUGCUGAAGAGACGAAAGCCCAGCGCUUGACGCCGCCACCGAGUCAAUACCGAACGUUUAUUGGCCCGGAGACGAGGUUUUGGGGACAAGCCUGCAUUUUUUAACAUUUUUUUCUUGCCAUCUGUGCUUCCUUGUACGUGUUAUUAUUUUCAUACAAGAUACUAUUCUAGAAGUAGUUUGAAAAUGCCUUUGAAUUAUGUUCCUCUCUUGGAAAAGGGUUAUUAAAUUAAGCUACACUGUCAUCAUCGAUAGCGUGUAGCUCUCAAUAGGCUCAUUAUAACGUAGACUAUAAACAAAAACGAAGUGCACCAUAAAGUGGUUUGAAGAACUGGUUCACGAAAAGUAACCAGAUAUGAAAACGUUGUAGAUCGCCUUUUGGAUAAUAUUCCAGUUUAAACCUAGACUUGGGACUUGUUGCCGUUUGGGAAGUCGUUAGGCUGAUUUUUUCCCUUACCGAAAAACAAGAACUUUUCCCUUCGUUUCGUGAAAAUUAGCUUUUUUGUUUGUUUUAAAGCAGUUCUAGUGGGUUCAUGAAAAUCUAGAAAAUAGGGCAAAGCAAUGGGAAAUAAAAACCACCCAGAGUUCUAUUACCCUAACAGACCCAACAUUAAUGUAUUGGCUUAUGUUGGCCUAUUUCCAUAUGAAAUAUUAAAUUUUCUUGUACUUAUGUGUAAAAUGUGAUAGUUUGCUUUUUCAUGUAACAUGCCCAUCAAUUUUUGCAUAAUUGCAGUUUCAGUAAAUACUUGUAAAACUACACGAUGUUCCUUUCCUUUGUUACUAGUUGUCUAAGUCCUUUCAGUUUUCCACCAUCGCGUGUGAGUAUGAUGAGGCGAUAUCUACAAUCGUGUUUAGAACGUGACCAAGUCGGAGAGAUCUGGACCUCAUCACUUGCUUUGCAACUUCAUACAAUUUAUUUAACCUUUUUGAGCAUAAUGUUACAUGAGUAGCAUAAAAAUAAUCGUUCUCAGCACAUGGGGUUACUGUAAGAAUUAAAUGAAAUAAUAAAUGGCAGUGUAUGGAGCACAUACUGGUAAAUACUAGUUUUGUGUAUAAAUGUUUGUUUUAUUUUGUUUCUUUUCUGAUUUUCUUUUGUGACCCACAUGGUUUAUUUCCAAAUUUCGUAUAUAGUUAAAUACUAUCACCACUGGAUGUAAGGGGUAUUAUACACAGUUUUUUAUACAUUUUAUUACAUAGUAAUAAAAGCAUAAUACAUAAAUUAGAAAUCUUUUUGCAAUAAGAAAAGAGUAUUGUCUAUAAUUUACUACCUGUAGAUAAAUUUUAUUCACAUUUUAUAAUUCACUUUGUUAUACAUUUAUACCUAUAUUAAUGAUAUUUUUAAAAUAGGAGUGCAUUGUAAAUUCAGUUUAAUUACUUUCUGAGUAGAGCAAAGAAGUCAGUGUGGCGAGUGCAGUGGUUAAAGAAGUAAGGAAAUAAAGCUGGGAAAGGAUCUUACAGGAUGUGGAUUUCAUUUAAAAUUUACUGGAUAGUAAGUCCUGCAGGGUCGAGGGAUGGCAAUUUGUUUUAGAAGGUUCACUUUGCUGCUGUAUGGAGAUAGCAGGGAUCAGGGGAGGAAAGGUGGAAUCCAGUUAGGAGUGUAAUUCAGUAAUCCUGGUGAGUGAUGAUGGUGGUUUAAACAAGGUGGAAAUAGAAAAGGUGAUUGGAUUCUGGAUAUAUUGUGAAAGAACAAGCUGCAGAAUUCACAAAUUGCUUGAAUGUGGGGUGUGAGACUUAAAUAGUUUGGCUUGAGUGAUUGGAUGGAUGUAAUUGCCACUUAGACAAAGAGGAGCAGAUUUUAUGUGAGGGGAAAAUGAAGUCAUAUAUUUCAGAACCUAUUAGAUGUCUAUUGAAAAUGGGCUCUUAAAGACCUAAUAUGUGUAUUGCUGAGUUGUCCAUUCCUACCUUCAUUUCUGUGAGUUUUUGCUAUUUUUUUUUGGUUCUCUGUUAUUAGGUGCAUGCAUGUUUAUAAAUAUUAUAGCUUCCUGUUGAAUUAACUUAUUAGAAACAUCCUUCUUUUUCUCUAGUAACAUUUUAAAAAAAUUUUGAAGUUCAUUUUACCUGAUGUUACAGCUUUCUUAUGGUCGCUGCUUACACAGUUUGUACCAUUCAAUCUAAAGUGUGUCUCCUGUAGACAGCACAUAGUUGUAUCUUGAUUUUUUUUAGUUUAAUGAUGUGCCUUUUGAUUAGAUUGUUUACUCCAUUUAUGUUCAAUUUUAUUGAUAUUGUUAGGUUUAUGUCUCCCAUUUUACUUGUUUUCUAUAUGUCUCAUCCUUUUUUGUUCCUCUGUUUCUUCUUUACUGCCUUAUUUUGCAUUAAGUGAGUAUUUUCUAUGGUAGCAGUUUAAUUUUUUAACCAUUUUUUCACAUUUUAAAAAGUUAAUGCUUUAGUGGUUGCUCUAGGAUUUGCCAUAUACAUCUUAACUUAUUAGAAUCGCCUUCAGAUUUGUAACAACCUAAUUCCAAUGAGAUUAAUACUCCAAUAUAGUUUUAUUGUUUCCCUGCUUUUUUGUGAUAUAAUUUUUAUACAUAUUGUAUCUAUAAAUGUUACAAACCCAACAAUAUAUUGUUAUAAUGAUUAUAUCUUUUAAAGGAGCUGGAAAAAUAAAGGUAAGCAAAUACAUAUUUAUAGCUUUUGUUUUCAUUGACCUUAUUUAUCAUUUCUAGUUCUCUAAAUUUCUUGUUCUUGUAGAUUCAAGUUGCUAUCCGAAUUUCUUUAACACAAUACAGCUUUGUUCCUACCCACAUCUGCUGUAAUUUUAUUAACAAAUAUUUCUGUAUGUUACAUUUGUAUAUGUUACUGGCUCACUUACACAUUGUGUGUAUAUAUAUUGUUUUGUACAAUUGCUUUGUUUCAUGUGUACAUUUUAAAACAACUUUAUUGAGGUACUUAAAUAAUUUUUAGCAAAUUUACAUACUUGUCAACCAUCAAAAUAAUCCAGUUUUAAAACAUUUUUAUCAUUCCAAUAAUAUUUUCUCAUCCCCAUUUGUAGUCACUCACCAUUCCUACCCCUACCCCUGGGAAACCACACAUACAGUUUUUUUCUUUAUAGAUCUGUUUUUUCUGGGCAAUCAUGAGUCUUUUUUAAAUUUUAUUUUUAUUACAUUGACACUAUUAUACAAUUACUUUGUUAUCUAGUCCCAAACGUGUCCAUCAAUCAAGAGUAAAACCUAUACUCAACAAGCUGUUUGUACCCAUUCCCCAACAACACAGCCCCUGGCAACCACCAAUCAGUAGCCUGCCUCUAUAGAUUUACCUAUUGGAUAUUUCAUAUAAAUGGAAUCAUAUAUUAUGUGACCUGUUGUAUCUGGUGUCUUUCACUUAGCAUAAUGUUUUUGAGGUUAGUUCACAGUAUACUUUAUAGUAUGUAUUAUUGGUACUCCUUUUUUAUGGCAGAAUAAUAGUCCAUUGUUUGUGAGGAGGGGGUUUGUGUGUGUGUGUGCAUAAAUAAUUUUUAAUCACUUAAGAAAAUAAAGGAGAAAAUAUGCAUUUUGCUGUCUUUUGUAAUUAAUUAUUGGUGCUGCUUUUUUUUUUUUUGACAAUUCAAAUUGCUGUCUAGGGUCACUUUCAGCCUGGAGAAAUCACUUUAAUAUUUUUUGUAAGGCAGGUUGGCUAGCAACAAAGUUUCUCAGUUGUGUUUAUCUGGGAAUUUCUUUAUUUCCUCUUCAUUUUUUAAGGAUAGCUUUGCUGGGUAUACUAUUGUUGAUUAACAGGUAUUUGAGCAUUUCGAGUAUGUUAUCCCAACACCUUCUAUUGUUCAUGGUGAAAAGUCAGCUGUUAUUGUUCCUGGAGUUCCCUUGUAAAUGGUGUGAAUUGUUUUUCUUCUUGCUACUUUCAAGAUUUUAUCCUUAUCUUAGGUUUCUAGCAUUUUUACUACGAUAUAUUUAUAUGUAUAUCUUUUUACAUUUAUUCUGCUUGAAAUUCUUUGAGCUACCUGUAUGGAUAAACAAUGGUGUUUCAAUAAAUUUGAGAAGCUUUCAGCAAUUAUUUCUUCAAAUGUUUUCCUGCUCCCUUUGUCUCUCUUUCUGGUAAUCCUAUGAUGUGUAUGUAAGUGUGCAUAAUAGUGACCCAAAAUUCUCUGUGGCUUUGUUUACUUUUCUUCUUUUUUUUGUCUUAGUUCUUCUAAUUGCAUAACUUCUAUUAUCUAGUUUGUUAAUUUUUUUCUCUCAAUUCAAAUCAAUUGUCGAACCCCUCUAUGAAUUUUUUAUUUUAAUUAUUUUACUUUUCAACUCCAGAAUUUACAUUUGUUUUU